GCCCGAUUAGCUCAGCUGGUUAGAGCGUCGUACUAAUAUCAUCUCACAAAGAUAAUAUCUAGUCAAUGCGAAGGUCAACAGUUCAAUCCUGUUAUUGGGCA